rnacentral:rRNA from 1 species
AGUGAACGCUGGCGGUAGGCCUAACACAUGCAAGUCGAACGGUAGCACAGUAAGAGCUUGCUCUUACGGGUGGCGAGUGGCGGACGGGUGAGGAAUACAUCGGAAUCUACUUUUUCGUGGGGGAUAACGUAGGGAAACUUACGCUAAUACCGCAUACGACCUACGGGUGAAAGCAGGGGAUCUUCGGACCUUGCGCGAUUGAAUGAGCCGAUGUCGGAUUAGCUAGUUGGCGGGGUAAAGGCCCACCAAGGCGACGAUCCGUAGCUGGUCUGAGAGGAUGAUCAGCCACACUGGAACUGAGACACGGUCCAGACUCCUACGGGAGGCAGCAGUGGGGAAUAUUGGACAAUGGGCGCAAGCCUGAUCCAGCCAUACCGCGUGGGUGAAGAAGGCCUUCGGGUUGUAAAGCCCUUUUGUUGGGAAAGAAAAGCAGCAGGUUAAUACCCCGCUGUUCUGACGGUACCCAAAGAAUAAGCACCGGCUAACCUCGUG